GGUAACCUGCUGUUGAGACUGUAGGCCUCCCUGAAGGACGUACAAAGAAAGAACACAGAGAUCAUGUUUAAAGUCACUGAAGUGGCACCUGUCUUCCCUUCGUUCAACAUUACUGACUUUAGUUAAACCAAAUGAGGGAACCAACGCCUCCAGACGGUGAUACUGCCUUGAAAAGAUGGAGAAUACUUGCAAAGCACGAAAAUCCUUAUCGGACUAAAGUGGACUCUAAUACGAAUUACAUGCAAAUAUUUUGGAGAAGGGAGUUUACUGAACUGAAGAAGCGGACUUGUAUCCCUGAAUCAUCUUCAGCAAGAGGACUUCUGUUGGUCCUGUUAGCGCACCCAGAUCUGCUGGUUUUCCCUCCUUGCAUGGAUCAUGUAUCACCUGUGCAGCUGUAUCAAUUCAAACCUGUUCCAGCGAGUGACGCGACCUCUCCAUACCACAGCCAUGGAGCUCCGGUAUUGUCUGAAGUCUCAGCUAAUUUGAUUUGAGUCAAAUGUGGGGCUCAAUCACUGCCUAUUAGCUUAGAUUUAAUUAACCCAAAUCAUGUUAUUGUGUUUGAUGACAAAGAGAUUUCUAUGUGGGAACCUCAUUGUCAGAUCAUUGUUCUGGUGUCUCAUUCAGAUCAGUCAAAAGGUUGACAAAGAAGCAGCUGCCAAUAUGGACCUCGGAGGGGAAACAAAGGUCUUACAUUAUUGUUAAUGGAAGGUGGGAGCUAUACCUGAAUGGAGAAGCUGUGCAUUUAGCAAUAUGAAAAAGUGGGCUGGAGUUAAGAGAGCUCUUUUUGAUGAAUUUAUCUGACAAAUAAGACUAAAUUAAAAUUGGUGUAAAGUUAAAAUAAGAUUUGUCUCUUUUUGCCUCACAUCACUACUGCUAGUGAUGCUGCAGGACAGUAUAUGAAGCAGUUAAGUGGUUUUAACCGGCUUCUCGCAAACUGUCCUGUAUUUUAAAUCAAGUUUCUGAUGCAAGUCAAAUUAAUAGGAAGAAGUCUGACACGCAAAGAAUGAAAAGUGCAAAUCAAUCACCUUCAAACAAAAUGACAUAAAUACCAUUAAAUUCCAUAAGAUCUUAUUUCACCUCACUCUGCUCUUAAUGCCUUUCUCUCAUCUGGAGUGACAUGAUUUUUUUUUCUCUCCCUGUGACACAUGCUAUAAUUGACAAAGCCUGGCUACACUUUGCCAAAGAGUAUUGAGUCGCUGUCUGGGUGAAGAAUACAAAUUCAUCCUGAAAUCGGAGGUGCUCAACAAAACUGCUGCCAAUUAUCUGAAGCCCUGUAAAUGAUAACUCUGUGGCCACUCAAGCAUAAAACAAGGAGAUGAAGAUGAAUCUUACUCUUCCCCAUCAUUUCAUCCCAUUUAAUUGACAAGCUCUCACUCGCUGUUAAAUUUAGAAGAUUACAAAUAUGAGCUGAAUCUCGAGCACCCAGUCCUCCUGCUCUAAUCAUAUGCAGAACCAGUCGCAAAUUAAUCUACAUAUUUUAAUAAGGUGCCAGUAGCGGGGAAGGUGUGUGCAGACAUUUAACGGAUUAUCAUCCGCCGUCCCCCGAGUUCAGAAAUUGAAUAAAUAUCUUUCAUAUAAAUACAUGGGAACCUCGGCUGAUAGCGAGGAGCUUUUCUCUCUCCAACUUGCUUGUGUUCUCGUCUCUCUUUUCCCCUCUCUUAGUCUCUCGCAGGCGAACAUGUGGACUCGGCUUUUCAGAGGCUUUCACUUCACUUGUGGACCAUAGUCUUACACUCAGGCCGAUUAACGGUCCCAAGCACUUAUUGAACAGAGAAGAUGUAAUUUCCCAGCCUUGCUAAUACCAACAGCUCCUGGGUUUCUUACUUCCAAUGUAAUCUUUAUGGGCACAGGAGGGAAAUAUGAUGGCUUUAUCGAGAAUUAAACCUGCUUUGGAGAUGAAAAAGCCUUUUGGGUAUAAAAAAAUGGCCAUGAGUAAAACACCACUAUAAGUUUAAAAAGUGAGUAGGCAAACUAAAAAGUUACAGCAGUUGACUCGUGCCCAUAUUGAGCUCUGUAGAGAAGCUGAGCAGAAGCAACUGACUGACUGAACUUGUUUUGGACUUGGAAUUGUUGCAUUUGCUCCUUUGGUUAGGGAGCAAACAUAUUUUCUAAACUGAUAAUAUUGUAAAUAUUUGUUAGUUUUGUUUUUUCAUAAGGUUUCUUGACUGUAGCAAUGUGAUAUUUCAACUUUCAAUUUCCCUCCAUCGGUUCCUACUGAAGAUGUAAACUGUUAAAAUGUGUCACAACAAUACAUUGUCUUUUAAAAAGGGAGUAAAUAACUUGCCAAAACAGCUGGGCACUGUAGGUUAGAGAAAAUGUUACUCAAACGGGAGUAAAUUAUUCAUUUGUUGGGAACUCUUUUAAUCUUAAUAGUGCACAUUUGAUAGCAGGAUGGUGUAUGAUUGACCCAAAAAUAACUACACUGGCCGUGUCUCUUGAAUGAAGAAAUGUGCAUUUAAAUCUGGACUUUAACAUUAAAUUGAACAUUAUGUUUAAACCUUUCCCAAAUGAGUUUGCACAAUGCUAGUAAAGCCUAUCAGUGGCAGGAAAAUAUACAAUAAUGCAGCUAAAACUAGUACUUUUCAGCUCGAAGACAACACAUUUCCAGAGUACCGAAGGUGGCUGGAGCACAUUGCUUGAUUCACAGUGUUAUAAAGUGGAAAUAGACUAACUUUUAAACACUAUUGUGUCUGUGUCUGAAUCACAGUCACUGAGGCAGAACAGAUAUAUUCAGUGUCAACCAAUCUCCAUUGAUAGAAGUACCAGAACACACAUCUAUCAAAGAUGACAAUCCAGAGAAAGACUGUGAAUUACGCCUUUUCUACUCUAGAAUUUUUAAAAUCUGCUGUCUGUGGUGAUGUUCCCACUCUGGUGCACCAGUACUGAUGCAUUUUAUAUCAACCAGCAAGGAUUGGUUUGCCAGAGCUCAAGGGGGAUGCACCUAUAGAGACGCAGACAAAGUAGGAAGGAUUACUGUCUAAAUAAAGAAAGCGAUCAAUGCCGAGGACCAACACAACGUCAUGGGUACGCAUGGAUAGUGUUUGUGUAAUUACUGUGACUGCAGGAAGGCAGAGACCAAAGUUCCUCACGACGUGUUUAAUGACUGUGGAUGACAAUGGAGAUAUUAUAAAACUAUUAAGGUCAUAAAACACCUUAGAAAGUCUUAUUUUUAAUUCUAAAAGAUCCUAAAUUCAGACAUUGUGCAGAUAUCCUGUAUCACCAUCCGUCAGCUGUUGGUUUCAGUCUUUUCAUCAGACUUCUUGACAUUAAGAAAAAUAUAAAAUGCCUCAGGAUUUAGUUCUUAAUUGAAAAUGGCAAUGUAGCCAUGUGGACAAUUGUAGGUCACAUGUAUCUAUGUUGUCACUACAUGUUUUUAUCGGGCUCAGCUUUAAUCCCUGCUCUAAACAACCACACAAACACAUACUAAAGAGCCAUAAAGGCACUGACACUGAACUUGCAGCUUAACCUGUUAUUCACCUUCCCUAAACAUACCUAUUUUCCUAAAGAAACACUGAAAAUUACACGCUUCCUCAUUCACCGCAAAUAAACUGGCGAUGGAGGUCCUUAAGUGGCAGUACAAAGAGUUAUAAAUUGUUUUUUUCUCACCUUUUCACAAUGCCAGAAGGAAUAUAGCCCCAUUACACUCUUGAGGGUCACUUUUAGUGUGUGAAGGCAGUGCUUACACAGACUUUACAACGUGUAUCAUUAUAGCCUGCCUUAUAAGGAAGCCGCCAGGAUGAGAAAGGCAAAGAAAGAGGAGGUCACCGUGGCUGUCACUUUCAGAGGGGAGGCGACCAGCGAUCAGCACUAAAUUAUCACCACUUAGCAGACGCGAAUCUUCCUUCCUAUUAUGCCACCUGUUUGUGAAAUCAGUAUUUUAGCACAUCAUACAGUAGCCUAAUACCUUUUCUUUGCUUCCUGUCAGCCAACUUUUUAAUUCUCCUCCUGUGGAGAAAUUUGAACCCCAACCAAGAAUCACACGUAUCGCUCUUAACCAAACAUAUUUAUCCUCAAUCAGUGAUAGACAUAUCUCAGAACCAAGACAAAACGGUGAUAAACCACCGCCAUGACAGUGAUUUGUCAUUUAGAAGUGAUUCGUCUGGUGCUGUCCCAUCUCCUGGCUGAGUAAGACAUCACAUGUCAGCGGUGAUUGACAGUUCCCAGUUCUGUCAGUUAGCUGCGGGGGAGCUGCAGGGAAAGAUAAGGACAUCUAUCUGUGUAGUCCCUAAUGGCAGGAUGGGGUCACAUGAAGGUCCCCUCCAACCGUGAUGAUAUCUGUAUCUAGUAGCCCUGGAUUGACUCCUGCGUUAACACCUGUCCCCAGCUGACCUUUCAACUCUACCCGAUACCAACUCCUCAUCUGGAUCAAUGCACAUGAUCAGUUAUGAAACAUAAACAUAAAACAGAAAUGAGACUGUGGAACAUUACAGUAUGACUUGUUAACUUUCACUGCUUCGUUUUUUUUUUUUUUUAAUUUUUUUUACUGCAGUUAAUUAAAACAUUUGCCCUCUUAAUCAAGUCUAUUUCCUGUCUAUGUCUUUGCCUAGCUCAGUUUAUCCCAUACAAGCAGAAAUACACUCAACUCA